UAGGGAAUCUUCCGCAAUGGACGAAAGUCUGACGGAGCAACGCCGCGUGAGUGAAGAAGGAUUUCGGUUCGUAAAACUCUGUUGUUAGGGAAGAAAAAAUGUAUAGUAACUAUAUACAAAAGAGACGGUACCUAACCAGAAAGCCACGGCUAACUACGUGCCAGCAGCCGCGGUAAUACGGAAGGUUCGGGCGUUAUCCGGAUUUAUUGGGUUUAAAGGGAGCGUAGGCCGUUUGGUAAGCGUGUUGUGAAAUGUAGGAGCUCAACUUCUAGAUUGCAGCGCGAACUGUCAGACUUGAGUGCGCACAACGUAGGCGGAAUUCAUGGUGUAGCGGUGAAAUGCUUAGAUAUCAUGAAGAACUCCGAUUGCGAAGGCAGCUUACGGGAGCGCAACUGACGCUGAAGCUCGAAGGUGCGGGUAUCGAACAGG
rnacentral:rRNA from 1 species